GUGCUCACUUCAGCAGCACAGACACUAAAAUUGGAAGGAUACAGAGAAGAUUAGCACGGCCCCUGCGUCAGGAUGACAUACAAAUUCUUGAAGCGUUCCAUAUUAAA
rnacentral:snRNA from 1 species